rnacentral:rRNA from 1 species
AUUGAACGCUGGCGGCAGGCCUAACACAUGCAAGUCGAACGAGUGGCGGACGGGUGAGUAAUGUCUGGGAAACUGCCUGAUGGAGGGGGAUAACUACUGGAAACGGUAGCUAAUACCGCAUACCAUCAGAUGUGCCCAGAGGGGAUUAGCUAGUUGGUGGGGUAACGGCUCACCAAGGCCACGAUCCCUAGCUGGUCCGAGAGGAUGACAAGCACAAUGGGAACAGAGACACGGUCCAGACUCCUGCGGGAGGAAGCAGUGGGGAAUAUUGCACAAUUGGCGCAAGCCUGAUGCAGCCAUGCCGCGUGUAUGAAGAGGGCCUUCGGGUUGUAAAGUAUUUUCAGCGGGGUGGCGUUACCCGCAGAAGAAGCACCGGCUAACUCCGUGCCAGCAGCCGCGGUAAUUC